rnacentral:rRNA from 1 species
UACGUAGGUGGCAAGCGUUUGUCCGGAUUUAUUGGGUUUAAAGGGUGCGUAGGCGGCUUAAUAAGUCAGUGGUGAAAGCCGAUCGCUUAACGAUCGAACUGCCAUUGAUACUGCUAGGCUUGAGUAUAGUUGAGGUAGGCGGAAUUGACAGUGUAGCGGUGAAAUGCAUAGAUAUUGUCAAGAACACCAAUUGCGAAGGCAGCUUACUAAAGUAUAACUGACGCUGAGGCACGAAAAGUGCGGGGGAUCAAAACAGG